UACAGGGGGGGCAAGCGUUGUUCGGAAUUACUGGGCGUAAAGGGCUCGUAGGCGGCCAACUAAGUCACACGUGAAAUCCCCAGGCUUAACCUGGGAACUGCGUGUGAUACUGGAUGGCUUGAAUUCGGGAGAGGGAUGCAGAAUUCCGGGUGUAGCGGUGAAAUGCGUAGAUAUCUGGAGGAAUACCGGUGGCGAAGGCGGCAUCCUGGACCGACAUUGACGCUGAGGAGCGGAAGCUAGGGGAGCAGACGGG
rnacentral:rRNA from 1 species